GUGCAUUUUUCCAUGCCAUGUAUCUUUAAACCGUACAUGCAUCAUACUUGUUUGCGCAUCGUGCCAUGCUUAUGUGAUGAUUAUUUACUAUGUUGUUUGCUUUCUUUCCGGUGUAGUUCUUCUCGUUGAUCCGGUAACGUUGCGUUUGUGAGGAUAUGUUGGCUACGUCCGUUUGUCUUCUUCAUGGACUUGUUCUUCUUCCUUGCGCGAUCUCAGGAAAGAUGACCAUACCCUCGAAAUCACUUCUAUCUUUGCUUGCUAGUUGCUCGCUCUUUUGCUAUGCCUAUGC
rnacentral:rRNA from 1 species